CCUACGGGAGGCAGCAGUGAGGAAUAUUGGUCAAUGGACGAGAGUCUGAACCAGCCAAGUAGCGUGAAGGAUGACUGCCCUAUGGGUUGUAAACUUCUUUUAUAUGGGAAUAAAAUGUUCCACGUGUGGGAUUUUGUAUGUACCAUAUGAAUAAGGAUCGGCUAACUCCGUGCCAGCAGCCGCGGUAAUACGGAGGAUCCGAGCGUUAUCCGGAUUUAUUGGGUUUAAAGGGAGCGUAGGUGGAUUGUUAAGUCAGUUGUGAAAGUUUGCGGCUCAACCGUAAAAUUGCAGUUGAAACUGGCAGUCUUGAGUACAGUAGAGGUGGGCGGAAUUCGUGGUGUAGCGGUGAAAUGCUUAGAUAUCACGAAGAACUCCGAUUGCGAAGGCAGUUCACUGGACUGCAACUGACACUGAGGCUCGAAAGUGUGGGUAUCAAACAGGAUUUGAUACCCCUGUAGUC
rnacentral:rRNA from 1 species